GUAGGGAAUAUUGGACAAUGGGCGGAAGCCUGAUCCAGCCAUGCCGCGUGUGUGAAGAAGGCCUUUUGGUUGUAAAGCACUUUAAGCGAGGAGGAGGCUACCGAGAUUAAUACUCUUGGAUAGUGGACGUUACUCGCAGAAUAAGCACCGGCUAACUCUGUGCCAGCAGCCGCGGUAAUACAGAGGGUGCAAGCGUUAAUCGGAUUUACUGGGCGUAAAGCGCGCGUAGGUGGCCAAUUAAGUCAAAUGUGAAAUCCCCGAGCUUAACUUGGGAAGUGCAUUAGAUACUGGUUGGCUAGAGUAUGGGAGAGGAUGGUAGAAUUCCAGGUGUAGCGGUGAAAUGCGUAGAGAUCUGGAGGAAUACCGAUGGCGAAGGCAGCCAUCUGGCCUAAUACUGACACUGAGGUGCGAAAGCAUGGGGAGCAAACAGGAUUAGAAACCCGAGUAGUCC
rnacentral:rRNA from 1 species